UACGUAGGGUGCGAGCGUUGUCCGGAAUUAUUGGGCGUAAAGAGCUUGUAGGCGGUCUGUCGCGCCUGCUGUGAAAAUCCGGGGCUCAACCCCGGACUUGCAGUGGGUACGGGCAGACUAGAGUGUGGUAGGGGAGACUGGAAUUCCUGGUGUAGCGGUGAAAUGCGCAGAUAUCAGGAGGAACACCGAUGGCGAAGGCGGGUCUCUGGGCCGAUACUGACGCUGAGGAGCGAAAGCGUGGGGAGCGAACAGG
rnacentral:rRNA from 1 species